ensembl:lncRNA
CACAUUCCUGCUGCCUAAAGGUUUACAGGGAGAAAUAAUAAAAAAUAAAUAGCAAGUAGAAAAGUGUGAACAUUUCAAUUAGCAGAAUCUAGUACGGCCACUUUUAAAUGAUACUUUUAAGUUCUCUACAUCCUUGGACUGAGAGUAUUCCCCUUGGACUUUUCAGGGGGUUCUUUUUACCAGUGUGGAGAUGACAUUCUACCUUCCACUCUUCUCUUCAGGGAUCAGGACACAGGCACAGGCACAACUUGUUCAGCCCCUGACCUCAUGGAGCUUAACAUUCAGUGGAGAAAUAAAUACUACUAUGCACAUACCCUCAAAAAAGAAAUAGUGUGUCCAUGUGUACAUCUGGAAAAUGUGAGUGUUUUACUUGGUGUCAGCUUUGAAAGCCCCUAAUGAGGCAUCUGCAUGUCAAGGAUUCUCAGCCCUUCCUCUUGACAUUAAGAGACAAUAAAAUGGGUGUGUGUGUGUGUGCGCACACGUGAGCGCAUGCCCCCAUGCAUAUUGCAUUCCUUGGACCUCAAAACAGAAAACUCCUUCUCAAUAGUCCUUGUUGCCAAGUUCAGCCAAGUUAAGAACUUCUGCAGGCUUUGGUGUUCACAAAAGGAGCAUUCCACCUGCCAGCCUGCACUGUGGUCUGCUGGGACAGUGAAGACUCACUGAAAAAUAAUUUUCUUCAGGGAACUAAAACUUUUUUCACUGUGAGCAGGUAUCAUUCUUGGUCUCUGCUCCCAGACAAUAGUUCUAUAUAAGGUAUAUUUUGAGGGGAACAGUAAAACAAGAUGUUUUGAUUUCACACCAGCUACAAAGCUCCGGGACAGUGGGAGAAUAAGGCAGGUCUUUUAACAGGUGUUUUGAUUCAUGUGUUUUCUAUAUAAUGAAAUAAGUGUCUUCGUGUGCUAGAUUUUCUUUGUCUUUACUAAAGAGCUCUCUUGCAUUAACCUAAUUUUAUUAACCAUCUGAAGUCUGAAGGAGUGCUGUAAAGUCAGGUAGUAUGAAGGAUGGGGGAAUAUAAUGGCUGGAUUCCUUUGGCUGGCACCUUUCUUUACCUGCUGACAGGCGGUUGACAGAGAGGGGAGAGAGCUUCAGUCCAAGUCUGUCCGGAGCAAUGCUACAUAAUUUUAGGGAAAAAUCAUUUGAUUAGGCCUAGUUCUUCUGCCUGUAGGCCAGCUAUGGCAGUUCACGACUAAUUCCAUUUUGGCCUCCGGUCACAACUGAGACUCGAUGAUCCGGUGAUGCUGUGAUGCUCCAGGACAAGAUUACACCAGCUGAAGACAUCCUGGGAGGAACAAAAUCUUCAUCUACUCAGUUCCUCAUUGUUCUUGGAUUUCCACUGCCCCCCAAUCAUUUGUUACACUUUGUUUAUCCCGAUGUACUGAACUCUCUGCAAGUCGUUUGUACAUAUGUUUCUCCCGAUGUACUGAAUAAAAGGUGCAGAAAGCUCCCGGGCUUUCGUCUUUGGUGCCCAGAGCAGCACUGAUCAGGCCCAAAGCUCAGCUUCUUCUCC